CCCGCUGAGUUUGAGCAUAUCAAUAAGCGGAGGAAAAGAAACUUACCAGGAUUCCCCUAGUAACACCGAGCGAACCGGGAAAAGCCCAGCUUGAGAAUCGGGCACCACCGACGUUUGAAUUAUAGUCUGGAGAAGCGUCCUCGGUUGCGGAUCGGGACCAAGUCCCCUGAAAAGGGGCACCGGAGAGGGUGAGAGCCCCGUCGUGCCUGGACCCUAUCGCACCACGAGACCAAACAUUUUAAUAAAAUGUUUUGUUUUACUAAAACAAUGAUUUUGGUUUAUGAAAUUUGAGAAAACAAGUUCGGGAGUCGGUUACGUACGAGGAAG
rnacentral:ncRNA from 1 species